AGAAUGAUCAAUGUUGUUAGUAACAGUAACAUAUUGGAACUGAUAGAUAGCAUAUUAGCAAUAGUGAACUGAUAAGUUGUAUUCUUCAUGAGCAACUCAGCACAGCUUAUGAUGUUCAAAAUAGUUAAAAAGGAAAAUCUGAAUGAACUAAGCUGCGCUUAAGUGCUAAAAACAGUGUCUGAACUGAACCAAGCUAUGUUUCAUAUAAUGAAUGCACAAUAAAACUGAGUCA
rnacentral:lncRNA from 1 species